rnacentral:tRNA from 1 species
UGGGGCGUGGCUCAGUGGUACAGCAACGGGUUUUGGUCCCGGACAUCGAAGGUUCGAUCCCUUCCGCCCCA